CAGAAUAUAGUUUAUAUAAAAUAUUAAUUUUGGAGAUUAAAGUAAUCUAAUAAGUUGUUCUGA
rnacentral:tRNA from 1 species